rnacentral:rRNA from 1 species
AUUAAACGCUGGCGGCAUGCCUUACACAUGCAAGUCGAACGGCAGCACGGGAGCUUGCUCCUGGUGGCGAGUGGCGAACGGGUGAGUAAAGCAUCGGAACGUGCCCUGGAGUGGGGGAUAACGUAGCGAAAGUUACGCUAAUACCGCAUAUUCUGUGAGCAGGAAAGCAGGGGAUCGCAAGACCUUGCGCUUUGGGAGCGGCCGAUGUCGGAUUAGCUAGUUGGUGGGUAAAGGCCUACCAAGGCGACGAUCCGUAGCGGGUCUGAGAGGAUGAUCCGCACACUGGGACUGAGACACGGCCCAGACUCCUACGGGAGGCAGCAGUGGGGAAUUUUGGGACAAUGGGCGCAAGCCUGAUCCAGCCAUGCCGCGUGAGUGAAGAAGGCCUCGGUUGUAAAG